rnacentral:ncRNA from 1 species
AAAUGACAAAGGCAAACCUGUUGAAAAACAGGGACGCAAAGCCACGGGUCUAAGGCAGCGCAGACGUGCAAGACUGCUGCUAAGAUAGCCGGGUUGCCAUA